GACGAACGCUGGCGGCGUGCUUAACACAUGCGAGUCGAACGGAAAGGCCCCCUUGUGGGGUACUCGAGUGGCGAACGGGUGAGUAACACGUGAGUAACCUACCCUUGACUUUGGGAUAACUUCAGGAAACUGGGGCUAAUACCGGAUAGGAGCUCCUGCUGCAUGGUGGGGGUUGGAAAGUUUCGGCGGUUGGGGAUGGGCUCGCGGCUUAUCAGCUUGUUGGUGGGGUAGUGGCUCACCAAGGCUUUGACGGGUAGCCGGCCUGAGAGGGUGACCGGCCACAUUGGGACUGAGAUACGGCCCAGACUCCUACGGGAGGCAGCAGUGGGGAAUAUUGCACAAUGGGCGGAAGCCUGAUGCAGCAACGCCGCGUGCGGGAUGACGGCCUUCGGGUUGUAAACCGCUUUCGCCUGUGACGAAGCGUGAGUGACGGUAAUGGGUAAAGAAGCACCGGCUAACUACGUG
rnacentral:rRNA from 1 species